ACGGGAGGCAGCAGUGGGGAAUAUUGGACAAUGGGGGAAACCCUGAUCCAGCGAAGCCGCGUGAGUGAAGAAGUAUUUCGGUAUGUAAAGCUCUAUCAUCGGGGACGAGAUUGACGGUACCCGAAUAAGAAGUCCCGGCUAACUACGUGCCAGCAGCCGCGGUAAUACGUAGGGGACAAGCGUUAUCCGGAUUUACUGGGUGUAAAGGGUGCGUAGGCGGCAAAGCAAGUCAGAAGUGAAAGCCCGCGGCUCAACUGCGGGACUGCUUUUGAAACUGUUUAGCUAGAGUACUGGAGAGGCAAGCGGAAUUCCUGGUGUAGCGGUGAAAUGCGUAGAUAUCAGGAAGAACACCGGAGGCGAAGGCGGCUUGCUGGACAGAGACUGACGCUGAGGCACGAAGGCGUGGGGAGCAAACAGGAUUAGAUACCCUGGUA
rnacentral:rRNA from 1 species